AAAACCUAUGCGCAUGAGGGGUCAUAGUGCCCACGACUGGCCGUGCGACGAGCGGUAUGAGCCAUACUUUGAGAGAUUGGGCCUUCUCCCGUUUGUGCUUCAGUUCAAGCGACACGCUCCGUCGAUCAACCACGGGGCGAUGACCGCACUUAUUGACCGUUGGAGGCCAGAGACACACACGUUCCACUUGUCAUGUGGAGAGAUGACCGUGACUUUGGAGGACAUGGUGAUGAUUAGUGGCCUUCCAAUCAAUGGAGAAGCUUUGACCGGCACCACCAUAAUUGCGGAUUGGCGAGAUCGUGUUGGCCAAUUGACAGGUGUUUUCCCCGUGCCUCCUGAAGAAGGCGAGCGUGACAGUGAGAAAGUGUUGCAUCAUUGGCUCCGAGAGGAGAGAGGAGUAGUAUGCCCUUCGGAUGCCAAUGAGGUUGUUGUGCAGCAGCACACCCGAGCUUAUCUAUGGUAUCUGUUAACGAGGGUAGUGUUCCCAUAUUCUACAGGUAAUAAAGCCCAGUGGAUAUUCUUGGACCUACUAAGUGACUGGGACCGUAAGUACAGUUGGGGUUCAGGAGCACUAGCAUACUUAUAUCGUUAGCUCGACGAGGCAUGUCGUAGGAAGAAGGCGACAUCUGGUAUGGGUGGCUUUGUUUGGUGCCUUCAGCUUUGGAUGUGGGAGCGGAUGCCCGUUGGACGUCCCGACAGAAACAAGAUACCACCUGAAGGAUGGCUCCCACAUGACGGGAGGCAUGGAGUUGAUCCUUGGCGGUUUCCGACCAUCGCCUACUGUUGGGAGUUCACGAAUGUGUACACAGGCAGCUCGGUUGCGCGAUACAAAUGCUACAUGAACGAUAUGGAUAUGUUGACUCAUAAGCAGGUCGAUUGGAUGCCAUAUGAUGGCGAGUGUGAUUUCAGGAUGAACAAGAUGUGCACGCGUGACAGGAAUAUUUGGCGGGCGAGAUGCCCACUGAUAUGCUUCUAUGUUGUCGAGUGGCACUACCCAGACCGUGUCGCAAGACAAUUUGGGAGAAGGCAAGGGACACCAAGGGAUGAGAGUUACGAGACAAACCAAUAUCUGCAUCGCAUUAGUUGAAAGAAUAACCCGGAAACUUCGACUUGGGCCAUCAAGCACUCCGAGUGGAUAGCUUUGUGGAAUCAAAGAGCGGACCUAGUGAAGAAGGAAAGAAGACUCCAUACUGAUUCAUUAUAUGAAGAACAUCUGAAGUGGCUUGUGGGACGUUACCGGUUGAAGCUAAAGCCCGGUUGGAAGCGUUCGUAAUUGGAAGAGUUGAAUCGUGAGGGCGGGUACAUAGACUUCAAUGUACAAACGAGAUACAACGAAGGGACACAACUUGACUACGCACAAUUACACGACCGAGUGGGCAUGGAGUUAUUGCAUUGUGUUAACGAGGCUGGUGUAGCACUUGGUGAAGAUGAUGGAAGUGAAUUAACGAAGAAAUCUCUUAGGAAAACAAUGAAGAGUUUCGUGAGUCGGUUCCACAAGAUGGCAGCUAUGCUCUCUUGCCACGGAGGUAAAGCCGUCCUCACGGACGGAGCUUCUAGUAGCCGAGACAAUAGACGGCGUCGUCGUCUUGUGUUGCAUCAGGAAGAGCAAGAGGAAGUGUAAGAGGAGCAAGAGGAAGUGCAAGAUGAGCAAGAGGAAGAGGAA